AACCAUUGCCCGACAACACAAGGUUUACAAGAUCGUGCAAUAAGGAUCAGAAUGUUUAAACCAUCAUUUUAUGGUAAUUAAGUAAAGGUCUAAUAUAGGAUCCUGUAAGAAGAAGAUCGGUGUUGUCACCAUAUCUCUGGAAUUGAAGCAAAUCAGAUGUCUAAUAUAGGAUCCUGUAAGAAGAAGAUUGGUGUUUGGUCUCUGGAAUUGAAGCAAAUCAGAUGUCUAAUAUAGGAUCCUGUAAGAAGAAGAUUGGUGUUUGGUCUCUGAAAUUGAAGCAACUCAGAUGUAAGUACAUGUACAUUUAUCUAAAAGGGGUCCUUCUCAACUAAAAAUUGGCCAUGAAUUUGUUGCCGUAAGGAAGUUUUCUAACCAUUUUUUUUUGAAAACCAGACCUCCUAAGGAUAAGCUUUUUGCACAGGUUUGUCCUAUUGAAGAGUCCUGCCAAAGUUUCAAAUGACGGCCAUAUUUGACCAGUCACAUGACCAGAAUAGGAAAAAACCCCUAACACUUUUAAAGGCAUCUAAAUCCAAAAAUUUAAAUCAGUGUCAAUAGAUUAAGAAUGUCCAGGUGCUUAAUGCUAUGCAUCAUAAAAGUUAUGAGGUAAUAAACGCCGGUAGUAACAGACUUUCUUCAGUAGCUUUCCUUUUACA